rnacentral:rRNA from 1 species
AUUGAACGCUGGCGGCACGCUUUACACAUGCAAGUCGAACGGUAACAGGCCGCAAGGUGCUGACGAGUGGCGAACGGGUGAGUAAUGCAUCGGAACGUGCCCAGUCGUGGGGGAUAACGCAGCGAAAGCUGUGCUAAUACCGCAUACGAUCUAUGGAUGAAAGCGGGGGACCGUAAGGCCUCGCGCGAUUGGAGCGGCCGAUGUCAGAUUAGCUAGUUGGUGGGGUAAAGGCCCACCAAGGCGACGAUCUGUAGCUGGUCUGAGAGGACGACCAGCCACACUGGGACUGAGACACGGCCCAGACUCCUACGGGAGGCAGCAGUGGGGAAUUUUGGACAAUGGGCGCAAGCCUGAUCCAGCAAUGCCGCGUGCAGGAAGAAGGCCUUCGGGUUGUAAACUGCUUUUGUACGGAACGAAACGGUCUGGGUUAAUACCCUGGGCUAAUGACGGUACCGUAAGAAUAAGCACCGGCUAACUACGUGCCAGCCGCCGCGGUAAUAC